GGGGCUUSCUUUAGAGGUACCGUCAUCMUCGUUCCUCUUGACAGAGCUUUACAUCCCGAAAGACUUCGUCACUCACGCGGCGUCGCUGCGUCAGAGUUUCCUCCAUUGCGCAAUAUUCCCCACUGCUGCCUCCCGUAGGAGUCUGGACCGUAUCUCAGUUCCAGUGUGGCUGAUCAUCCUCUCAGACCAGCUACUGAUCAUCGCCUUGGUAGGCCAUUACCCCACCAGCAAGCUAAUCAGGCAUAAGCCCCUCCUUAAGUAGUAAACCUUUCUUCUUUUUAACAUGCGAAAAAAAGAAAAUAUCCGGUAUUAGCAUUCCUUUCGAAAUGUUAUCCCGGUCUUAAGGGCAGGUUGCUUAUGUAUUACUCACCCGUUUGCCACUAACUUUUAAAAACUUCGGCCGAAGCUUCCAUUUAAAAAAGCCCGUUCGACUUGCAUGUGUUAAGCACGCCGCCAGCGUUCACCCUGAGCCAGGAUCAAACUCUAAUCGAAUUCCCGCGGCCGCCAUGGCGGCCGGGAGCAUGCGACGUCGGGCCCAAUUCGCCCUAUAGUGAGUCGUAUUACAAUUCACUGCCCGUCGUUUACAGAGGGGAUAGRGSUAAGCRGAUKUAAAUGG
rnacentral:rRNA from 1 species